CCACCUCAAUAUCUGAGAGUGAUUAAACCAGUUAGGAGGCUCUCCACAGUACAUCUGUAGAAAUUUGUGAUAGUCCUUGAUGACAUACCAAGUCUCUUCAAACUCCUCAUGAAAUAUAGUUGCUGUGGUGCUUUCUUUGUAACUGCAUCGAUAUGUUGGGGCAGGACAGAUCCUCAGAGAUGUUGACACCCAGGAACUUGAAACUUUUCAGCCUUUCCACUGCUGAUCCCUCGAUGAAGACUGGUGUGUGUUCCCCUUCCUCAACUCCUUGGUCUUACUGAAGCUGUGUGCAAGUUUCUGCGACACCACUCCACCAGCUGAUCAGUCUCGCUCCUGUACGCCUCCUCGUCACCAUCUGAAAUUCGGCUGACAAUAGUUGUGUCAUUGGCAAAUUGGUAGAUGGUGUUUGAGCUGUUCCUAGCCACGCAGUCAUGGGUGAAGAGCUAAGCACACAUCCCUGAGGUGUGCCGGUGUUGAUUGUCAGCGAGGAGGAGAUGUUGUUUCUGAUCACACAGACUGUAGACUCUUGGUGAGAUAGUCAAAGAUCUGCUUGUAGAGAGAGGUACAGAGACUCAGGUGUUUGGAGCUUUUUGAUUGGAACUGAGUGCAUGAUAGAGUUGAACACUGAGUCAGCCUGACAUACGUAUCGUUAUUGUCCUGGUGAUCCAAGGUUGAGUUCAGAGAUGGUCGUUGACUUCAGGAGGGCGCGGAGCGACCACUCUCCGCUGAACAUCGAUGGUAGAGAUCGUAAAGAGCACCAAAUUUCUUGGUGUUCACCUGACGGAAAAUCUCACCUGGUCCCUCAACACCAGCUCCAUAGCAAAGAAAGCCCAGCAGUGUCUCUACUUUUUGCGAAGGCUGAGGAAAGUCCAUCUCCCACCCCCCAUCCUCAUCACAUUCUACAGGGGUUGCAUUGAGAGCGUCCUGAGCAGCUGCAUCACUGCCUGGUUUGGAAAUUGUACCAUCUUGGAUCACAAGACCCUGCAGCGGAUAGUGAGGUCAGCUGAGAAGAUCAUCGGCGUCUCUCUUCCCGCCAUCACAUACAUUUACACUACACGCUGCAUCCGCAAAGGAAACAGCAUUAUGAAGGACCCCACGCACCCCUCAUACAAUCUCUUCUCCCUCCUGCCAUCUGGGAAAAGGCUCCGAAGCAUUCAGGCUCUCACGACCAGACUAUGUAAUAGUUUCUUCCCCCAAGCUGUCAGACUCCUCAAUACCCAAAGCCUGGACUGACACCUUACUGCCCUAUCGACCUGUUUAUUAUUUAUUGUAAUGCUGGUACUGUUUUUGUGCACUUUAUGCAGUCCAGUGUAGGUCUGUAGUAUAGCUUUCUCUGUGUUUUUUUUUAAUUACAUAGUUCAGUCUAGUUUUUUGUACUGUGUCAUGUAAACCAUGGUCCUGAAAAACGUUGUCUCAUUUUUACUAUGCUCUGUACCAGCAGUUAUGGUCAAAAUGACAAUAAAUGUUGACUUGACGAGUGAAGAGCCAAUGAGAGUGUAUCCACAAUAAACCUAUCGUGGUGAUAGGCAAAUUACAGUGGUUCCAGAUCCUAUCUUAGGCAGGAGUUGAUUUUAGCCAUGACUGAUGUGACAGCCCCUGGGUAGCUCACCCUGGGCACUGGUAUGAUUGUUACCCUUUCAAAGCAGGUUGGAACCUCCAGCUGUAGCAGCGAGGGAUUGAAAAUGUCCUGCCAGUUGGUUGGCACAGGUUUUCAGAGCCCUGCCAAGUACACCAUCAGGGCCUGAGGCCUUGCGAGCGUUCACCCUCCUGAAAGGUGUUCUGACGCCGGCCUCUGAGACGGAGAUCACAGAGUCACCAGAUGCUGCAGGGAUCCCUACAGGUGUGGUUUCAUUCUCUCUUUCAAACCAUGCAUAAAAGGCAUUGAGCUCAUCUGGGAGUGAAGCUUCGCAGCCAUCCCUGAUGUUAGGUUUCGCUUUGUGGGAAGUAAUGGCUUGCAAACUCUGCCAAAACUGAUGUGCAUUGAUUCUGUCUCUAACCUCAAUCAGAAUUGUUCAUUUUUGCUCUUGAAAUAAUCUUCUGUAGGUCUUACCUGGAUUUCUUGUUCAGUUAUGGAUCGCUGGUCUUGAGUGCCACAGACCUAGGCCUCAGCAGACUAUGAAUCUUGUGGUUCUUCCUUGGCUUUUGGUUCACUCUCCUCCACACAGGUCUUAAUGACAACUAGUUUGAACUUCAAAACAAGAUCAUAUCUGAUUUAAGAGUAGGCGGCAAGGGAGAGGAAGAGAGAGUGAUGUCAACAGGAUUUCCAGAUGUCAAUGAGGAUCUUGACAUCUUUAAGGAAACUGAGCACACCCUUAAAUCUCUUUCUCUGUACACCAGAAACUGUUCCGUUGGGCUUAGUAGCUAAGCCACAUGUGAAGGCCAGGAGCUGGACUUUGUUGUCAGAGGCUAUUUGAGACUCACGCCAUUGGGAGCAUUUAAUAGGUAGUGGAAGCUUAUCCUCACCACCAUCCCUGACUAUAACAACCUUAAAGAAACAAUAUUAAUAUUGAAUUCUGCUAAAAUGGUGAAGGAACCACUUCUGUAAACAUGUUGGCCUCUUACGCUACACAGGCGGACAACUACACUGACACACUGCAGAGGAAUAAAUCUGUGACCGAUGAAAUGCAAAAGCAAACUUUGACGUUCCAACCUCCCAGAUGAACCAAUUUGGCUCCUGGUGGCAACUAUUUUUAUUUUUAUUUUGAGAUGAGUCACAGCAACAGGCCCUUAUGGUCUGAUGAACUCACACUGUCA